AUGUCGUUGACUAUGGGCGAAAAAGUGCACUGGCCCUCCCACAAGCACAUGGAUGUGUACACUAAGGAUUUGAUAAAGCAGUUGAGGGAGAAUAAUGUGAAUGUUGGUAAUAGUUUUUUCAGAUCAGUCGAGAAGGUGCCAUUUAAAAAAAGGACUAUGAGCAACAUUUGCGGGAACAUAAGCCGUGAGCAGGCGGAGGAUGAUGUUCGGAAGACCUUGGAGGUGUUUGCAAACAUUGUUAAUGGUGACCCCAGGUUUACAUAUAAAGUUCUUGUAGAAAAGAGUAGCAAAGUGAAGAACCUCAUGUGGACAAAUGGGAGCAGCAGAAUGCAGUACAGAUUAUUUGGGGAUGUCGUAACUUUCGACACCACUUACUGGACAAACCUCUACAAUAUGCCUUUUGGACUAUUUGUUGGGGUCAACAAUCAUUUUCAGAGAAUAAUUUUUGCUGGUGUCUGA
rnacentral:rRNA from 1 species